rnacentral:rRNA from 1 species
GAUGAACGCUAGCGGCAGGCCUAACACAUGCAAGUCGAGGGGCAGCAUAAUAAAAGCUUGCUUUAUGGUGGCGACCGGCGCACGGGUGCGUAACGCGUAUGCAACCUACCUUAUACUGGGGUAUAGCCCGAAGAAAUUCGGAUUAAUCCCCCAUAGUAUUAUUAGAUCGCAUGGUUUGAUAAUUAAAGGCUACGGUAUAAGAUGGGCAUGCGUCCCAUUAGCUAGAUGGUGAGGUAACGGCUCACCAUGGCGACGAUGGGUAGGGGCCUGAGAGGGUGGUCCCCCACACUGGUACUGAGACACGGACCAGACUCCUACGGGAGGCAGCAGUGAGGAAUAUUGGUCAAUGGGCGAGAGCCUGACCNGCCAUGCCGCGUGCAGGAAGACGGUCCUAUGGAUUGUAAACUGCUUUUAUACAGGAAGAACACUCCGACGUGUCGGAGCUUGACGGUCUGUAAGAAUAAGGAUCGGAC